AUGAACGCCACUUUUUACUCCUCAAACCGUGUGCGGUGUCGCCCUCGCGCCCCGCUGUCGCAGAGGAAGGUGCGGGGCCCCGGAAAGGAAGCUCCUCGGCCCGCGCUGCUCCCGGUCCCUCGCCCCUCCCGCUCCUGCCGCCGCGUCCCCCGCGCUCUCCCGCCUCCUCCGCGGGAGUCGGGGUCCCGGACACCGGGUUCUGUGCGGGCGCGUCCACACGGACAGGGCCGGCGUGGCGGGGUCCCUCCCAGCCUGCGGUGCCCCCGCUGGCCCCGCGCAGCUCCGCCCGUCGCGGCGCCUCGGAGGCCCCGGCCCCGCCGCCCAGGGUCCCGGCGACCGAGCCAGGGCCAGCCCCUCGGCAGGGUCACCCUCGGGCCUCGGGGCCAAAGGCAGAGGCGGCGUCCGCUCCGUCCCGCACCACGAGGGGCCCCCGCGCGGCCCGUCUUGUCUUCGGACCCGCGGGCUCCUGGUGGGAGAGAGAGGGGUCCGCGGGAGACGCGGGGAGGGAGGCGGCGGCCGGCGCGGCCCUCGGCCAGGGUGUCUGGGUUUCGGGGUCGACGCUUCGAGACCCGGCCUGGAGGCGCCGUCUUUUCUUUAAACGACCCGUUUCAUUCAGAGUGUUCAUUUAUUCUAAGUCUGACGCACUCGGGCUGCGGUCAGAACGUCCAGCUCCUAAGUCCCCGCGGGACGCUCAAGGCCGCUGUCACACUCGACUUCGGAGCCCGACCCCGGGGGGGGGGUCUCCUCCCUCCGCCCCCAGCUGCGCCGGAACCAGGACUCCGGGCCGCGGAGCCCGGCGUCGGUGGAGACCAGGGGUCCCCGAGCGCCGGCCGCCCCGGCCCGGGCUCCUCCGGGGCCGCGGGUGAGCCGAGCGCGGGCAGCUCCGAGGCGCGGGCCCGCGGGCUCCCGUGCGUCCUGCCGCCGCCCCCUGGCUCCGCGGAGAAGACGCCCGAGGCCGGCAGCGGGCGGAGGCGCGCCCCAGCUCUCCCGCCCCGUGGGCACGCGCGGGGCGGGGCGACCGCGGGCCUCCCGCGCUGCGGACGGCGUCCUCCUCCGGGCGCCUUUCGCUCAGAAGCUCCUCGACCAGGGCUCCGGGGCACAGCAGGGCUGACGGCCUCAAGGCUGGGGAAGUCCGUUAGGCACUCUAAAAACCCAAGCUUUCCCGUCAGUAAGGCACUGAGAGUUGGCUUCGGUCUUGGUUCGGAUAUUCCCCUUUUGAGCAAGGAGACCUCCCGCUGCCGGGGAGAAGAGAGGUUCACGGCUCUUGUUCAUCGAACCGGAUCCGUCCGUAGGACGUGCGACCUCUGCUUUCAACGUCCUGAACGCUCCCUCGGCAUCCUGUGCUUUUCAGUCGGUUUUCUUUGGACGCGCCCUUGUGUCCCGCCCGCACCCCGCCGCCGCCGCCGCCGCCAGCCCGACGCGCGUCUCGGUAGCUUCUGCGGCCGAGCGGGUCUGCGGGCGCCGGCCACCAGGGGGCGCGAUCGUCCACCCCGCCUCGGUCCCCGCCUUUUCUCUUUGGCCGGGGAGUUUCUGUCCGCCAGGACGUUGGGGAUCAGAAGCGAGGGUGGGGGAGGUACGAGAACAGACACGUCCUGGGAAAGGGGUCGGCCAAAUGCCCACGACUCCCAACACCGGAUCUGGGGUUUUCUUCCGGAUUGUAGUUCAGUUGUUAGCGACACCGACACAGGUUCGUUUCGCCACCGCACACGAGGGCCAGUCGCUGGAACGCCAGGCUUGUGGCAAGAGAAGAGGUUUAUUAUCCAAAGGCGGCCAGACGUGGAGAUGAGAGUGAAAACUUAGAUCCGUCUCCUCGAAGGGAAAAAGGCUACUGAAGCACGGCAGGUGCAAACUGGAGGCUGAGAGCUCCCUCCUGCUGUGUGCCUGUGGAGGCAAAACUGGCAAGCAAGCCGCAUAGGCUUAGAGUCAGUGCAAAAUCUAGGCUGUACAGCGAGGCGGCCUUGGAGGUCAUCUUAAGCCUGUGUCAGAAUGACCUUGCAACCCUUCACCUCGUGACGGAAGACGCCAGCGAGAAAAGAUCUGCAACCAGAAGAGAGAGAGGGUACCCAGCUCUCAUACCCUCUCGCUACGUCUUUAGGUUCGGGGGGUACCUCGCCACCCUGGGACUUGCCUCCCUCCCCACAUAGAUGACAUCAGCAUUCCAGGGUACGUAACCAAGAAAUUCUUACUUUAUAAACGAGAGAAAAACCAGAUGUACCCUGCCACGGAGGGAGGGUUUCGCCGUUUGAUUGUUGGCGUAUAGGACUGUUCAUGAGUAAGCCCCUUUCUGCUCUUAUGGACGGCCUCGUAAGAAGGCACAUAAACUGUGCUCAGAUCUGUAGACCUCCGUCAGAGCGGUUCCUGCAGGACGCUCUGUUGAGCUGUUUCCCAGGCUCGAGUCCUCACCUUUGGUUAUUGAACGAACUCUUUCAAGUAACUUUUAUCACGAUUCUUUAUUUCAGUUGACAUUAUUCAUGUUUGCACCUCCUGGGCUCAUCCACUUUCCUGAACUUGAACCCGGGGACCCGAGGGUCACCGUCAAUAGUCAAUGUGACCUUUCGACCUUGUCCCCAACACAGACCUAGCUGAAAGGAAGUCAGUCUUGUCAAUUUGCCGUUUUCUUGUUUAACCAGAGGGGUGACUCAAGGCUCACAGGGAUUUAUGAGCUUGUUUCACAGAAGGAAGAGAAUGCCUUCAAGGAAGUUACGAUCACCAAUCACCAGAGAUCACCACUCAGCAGAUAACCGGCCCUCAGCUGCUGUUGAUGCCCAGAAGUGAGACUGCCCAAGGGCUUAUCAGGAGUGAAAGAAACACGCGUGACCCCUUGGUUUCUCCUGAGAAACUGCUCCUGCCAAGCCCCUUAGCUCUGUAAA